rnacentral:rRNA from 1 species
GACGAACGCUGGCGGCGUGCUUAACACAUGCAAGUCGAACGAAGUGGCGAACGGGUGAGUAACGCGUAAUCAACCUGCCCUUGAGAGGGGGACAACAGUUGGAAACGACUGCUAAUACCGCAUACUGAAGGAGGGGAUUGCGUCUGAUUAGCUCGUUGGAGGGGUAACGGCCCACCAAGGCGAUGAUCAGUAGGCGGUUGGAUGGGAUGAACCGCCACAAUGGGAAGUGGACACGGCCCAGGCUUCUACGGGAGUCAGCAGUGGGGAAACUUCCGCAAUGGACGGAAGUCUUACGGAGCAACGCCGCGUGAGUGAUGACGGCCUUCGGGUUGUAAAGCUAUGUUAAUCGGGACGCGGUACCGGAAUAGAAAGCAACGGCUAACUACGUGCCAGCAGCCGCGGUAAUUC